rnacentral:siRNA from 1 species
CCGUACAUGUUGGUGGUGAGAAG